AUGUGCGCGAGUCAUUGGGAUAUAACUAAACCUAAAGGCGUAAUGAAAGUAAAGGUUUACCUUGCGUAGACCGAGGGAGGAUGAGCGAUUUGCCCUUAAAAGUGAUCGCUUCGCACUCCCGGGGCGUCUCGUUCUCAUUGCGAGAAGAGGCGCACCAAAAGCGUACACGCUGGGACCCGAAAGAUGGUGAACUAUGCCUGGUCAGGACGAAGUCAGGGGAAACCCUGAUGGAGGUCCGUAGCGAUUCUGACGUGCAAAUCGAUCGUCGGAACUGGGUAUAGGGGCGAAAGACUAAUCGAACCAUCUAGUAGCUGGUUCCCUCCGAAGUUUCCCUCAGGAUAGCUGGCGCUCGUUGCGUACGAGUUUCAUCCGGUAAAGCGAAUGAUUAGAGGCAUUGGGGUCGAAACGGCCUCAACCUAUUCUCAAACUUUAAAUGGGUGAGAUCUCCGGCUUGCUCGAACUUAUGAAGCCGCGAGACUCGAAUCAGAGUGUCAAGUGGGCCAUUUUUGGUAAGCAGAACUGGCGCUGUGGGAUGAACCAAACGUCGAGUUAAAGCGCCAAAAUCGACGCUUAUGGGAUACCAUGAAAGGCGUUGGUAACUUAAGACAGCAGGA
rnacentral:rRNA from 1 species